CCUUACCCUACCAAACAUGGGUUUCAAGUACUAUUUAAGCUAGUCCAGUACAGCAAGGCCUGCCAAACACAGCCUAAUAUCCUUAUUUUGAAACCCAAUUACAAAUGCUCCUUAUAAAAAUUCCAUAUUGAUAGCCUAUUGCUCAUCUUUCACUUUUGUUUAGUCGUUCUAAGCUCUCUCAAAUCCUCUUUCACAAUUUCUCUAUCUCACUCACUCAGCCCUCCUCUCCUCUCUUCUCUCUCUCUCUCGCUCGCACCCACUUCGGCGAUGGUCACUGUCACCUCCUCAGAAACCCUAACCCACAUCAGCGAUGACGACCUCACCCUUUCCACCUCCAUUCUCAUUCUUUGUCACCUCUUUCGACCUCCAUGCUUAGAGAUGGCGUCUCAGUCCUCAAGGUUGGUAUAUGCCAAGGUUGUGUUGGUGUCGUGAAAAGAGUUCUUGGAAAACUUGAAGAUGGAAGAUUGUCUUGUUUCAAGUGGCAGCGUUCUCUUGGGGAGGAAAUUGCUAACUUUUACCUUAAAUUCAGUUUUAAGAGGAGAUGUCAUCGAAUUUUGCUAAUGUGUUAAAAUUCCCGGCCAAGAGGAGAUGUAAAUUUUUUAUUUUUUGCCACUUUCUUAUUCAUAUCUUAUGAAAGUCUUCAACU